rnacentral:tRNA from 2 species
GCGCGGGUGGUGGAAUUGGCAGACACAUACGUUUGAGGGGCGUAUGGGUAACCCCCGUGCGGGUUCAAGUCCCGCCCCGCGCA